AGGACGAACGCUGGCGGCGCGCCUCAUACAUGCAAGUCGAACGUGAAGUCCGGAGCUUGCUCCGGGUGAAAGUGGCGAACGGGUGAGGAACACGUGAGAAACCUGCCCCAGAGACCGGGAUAACACCGGGAAACCGGUGCUAAUACCGGAUGCCCUCGUCGGAUCGCAUGACCCGACGAGGAAAUGGAUUCCGCUCUGGGAUGGUCUCGCGGCCUAUCAGCUUGUUGGUGGGUAACGCCUACCAAGGCUUCGACGGGUAGCUGGUCUGAGAGGAUGUCCAGCCACACUGGGACUGAGACACGGCCCAGACUCCUACGGGAGGCAGCAGUAGGGAAUCUUGCGCAAUGGG
rnacentral:rRNA from 1 species